UUCACUAUACUGAUUUUAGUGAAUACCUCCUAAAUGAAAUUUCAAAAAGAAAACAUACCUUAAUAACAAAACAAGGCAAUAAAUGAAUCAGGAAAAAAGGAAACUUAUUAUCUACCCUAGUCAAUUCAAGCGGCUGGACUCCAUAAAGUUUUAUCAACUUUUCAUUUUAGAAGUUCUGUCCAUUCUGACGAUAGCGUUUUCCCUUGAAAAAUCUUUACUUGCUAUCUGUUUUUGAAUCAUUUCCUCUCAAAUGCAUCUUCAAUCUGCGCUUCUUGACCAUCUCUUUUCCUAAUCGAAAGCAAGGCGGUUCAACUAUUCUCUCAUCAGAGAUGAGACAAUGUGAAGGGUCAUCUUUGAAGCCAAAAGUUCACCCAUCAACUCUGAACCACCAAACCUGACGCUGAUUUGGAGUUUCUUUUGUCGAACAUUGCAUGAAAUUGAAUCGUCAUCCUUGGUAGUCCUCCUGAUGCUUGUGGUUUUUGUUCAUAUUUAAGGAAGUCUUCUUUCCUAUCACUCCUUCAAGUUCUUCCAUAUGCUUUUAUAUUCUUUGUAGUAGGUCUUGACAUGACUACGCCCUGAGGCUCAACAAGCUCUAAGCUUGAUCCCAUCAAGUUACCCAAAGGACCCAUAACUCGAGCUCGGGCUAAGCACCUUUAAGAAGCUGUUUUAGCUUUGUUUGCUCAACUUUGGAAUGACAAUGAGCUCUGAACUAAAGGGAUAGAUCGGGCCAGCUUAAUACAAGCUCCAUGCACCAUAGUGCAAGCUGUUUUCAACUCAACUCUAGCUUUCCGAGCUUUAUCUAGCUCAAUUUAGCUCACUUGAGCUUAAUUCAGCUCGUUGAGCUAGAUUUAGUUUUUCUCCAGCUUACUUCUUUUAUUAUUUUAAUAAACUAAGUAUUAGUUUUAUUUUAAUUCAAAUUGUCACAACUCAUAUCUGAAUUCCCUAGCUCAAAUUAGCUCAUUAAAUUGUUUUUACAUAUUUGAGCUAGCCAAAUUUAAUGUGCCCAGAUUUCUAUAUGUUUUUAAUUUGUCUAAGCUACAUCCAUAUUUAUGUUGUGUCUAAAAUUAUUACUUUUGUUUAAUAUGUCCUAGUUAUUACUUGUUAAUGUGUCCUAGCUGAAUGCAUGAUUUUAAUGUGUUCCUAAGCUACCGAAUUUAUGUUGUCCUAAGUUGAUUUAAUUUGAUAAAUUAAUGCGUCUUAAACUAAUUAAUUCUGUUGAUUUAUUAGGUUGAGCCAUGUACAAUGGACGGGAUGAAUAAGGUGUGCUGAUGGUUUAUCUUUUCCAAGCAACCCUUCGUGUAUGCCAAAGCCCAAGGGAGCUGAUGUUUCUUUUCUUCCAAGUUGCUGAUUUAUUUUCCCAAGCUGACAGAUCAGCUCUCUAAAGAAACUAUGAAAGCUUUCACACUUGCUGGAAAAUUCCAUUCACCCUUCAAGGCUGUUUAGUUUUGUGUUUUCGCACACACAAGAGGCGGUUUGAAUUCUGUUCACACUUCUCAUGCCUUUUGCAAUCUCCAAGCUCCUUAUUAAGUUCCAAGACUACUCAGCUGAUCAAGGCAGCUCCAUUAAAGCUUUCACACCCCCUUGGCUGAAUCUAACCAAGACCCUCUAACUUACCAUUCACUUCCAUUUAUGUUCAACUGAUUAGAGGCAUCUAGAAGCAUCUUUUGACGUUCUCCUAGCACAAAAAACUUUAAGGAAACUUUUUAAAGAAUUCUGGAAUUUUCAGCUAACCAUUUAGCUACCUUAAGAACCUAUUCAGCUAUCCCUUGUAAUACCUAUAAAUAGUUUGCUUAUUUCAGCUUGUAAGGAACUUUUGACAUUUUGUUUAACGAAACUUUGUUUCUGUGAUGUUUACUUCCUCUCAACUUUCGUACGAGUCUCGAACGACUUAUCUAGCUUGCUAGUGGUGGCGUCAACCGAACUUGUUUUUAGAACUUAUCACCAUCACUUGGUGUGGCGUUCUCCUAUCCAACUACCAAUCACAUUUCCCACCUUAAACGAUAUAGGAAUCGGGGUGAGACUCAUCAUAGUGUUGAAUCACUUCUAAAGUUUAAGUUCGUUUUCCAUUUCCGCUUUCUUUCUUUAUCUAACUUAUUAUCCUAAACCGAGCCAUCCAAAUAGAUUCUAUCCUUGUUUCUCUCUAGCCGAACCUAUCAUCAUCUACUUAGCCAACUUUGAACCCUAUUUUAUUCACUUUCAACCUCAUAAGCCAAAUUCCAACAACUCGAUAAUUUUAUGAACGACCCUUUUCGUCGAUGAUUGGGCAACUUACGUAGACUCGACUCAUUCAACCGAGCUGAAUCACGUCAUUUGGUGUCAGAGCUUGUAAAUCAAGAAGCACCGACGUUCGUAUCAAUUCCGUAGUAGGUUUGUUAUUAAAAAAAUAUUCAAUCAAGUUGUGCUCAAGUUCUCUAUUGUAUUUAGCAAUAUAUUUGAAUUUUAAAAAAAAUUCGAGUAUAAAAAAAAGGUGAAGUGUUGGAAAAUUUUGUUUUAUUUUACUUGUAAUCCCGAUCAUCUAGUGUCGUUCUAUCAUCAAUUACCCCCACAAUGCCACACUAAACCGGAAUUUUCUUUGUUUCAGCCUACCCUGCAUCCUUAUAAUAUAUCCCUUGUAACCACUUUGAAAUCGACCCCAAAGUAGCAAAUAAGUCUAAACGAGAUGAAAUACGAAACAACGAGAGGGAGUUUGAAUGGUAAAAGGCAAAGAGUGUGUGAUUGCAUUCGAGAGUGUCAAAAAAGCUUUAAAAUGAGUGCAAACACGAGCCCGAGUGCAAAUAAUUAAUUUUUCUUUUCGAGUGAAAUAGUAAGGUUUUCUGUUAAGGAUCUUAAAAGUUUUUUGUCAAUAGGCAUGGAACGAAGAAUGAAGGAGAACAAGGCUGAAACCACAUCUCACAAGGAGGAGGAAUCGAUACUCAUGUGUGCUAGUAAGCUACUCGUUGUCAAAAGAAGUCUAAGUAUUCAAAGUUUAGAAAACGAGCAGUAAUGGGAAAACAUCUUCCAGUCCCGGUGUUAAGUUCAAGGAAAGCUUUGUAGCUUGAUUAUCGAUGGUGGAAGCUGUACCAACGUCGUAAGUACCCUCAUGGUGGAGAGAUUAGGCCUAACGACCAUCAAACAUCUGAGCCCCUACAAACUUCAAUGGCUUAACGACGGUGGUGAAAACAAGGUAACCAAACAAGUGCUCGUUCCUUUUUCAAUAGGCAAGUACAAGGACGAAGUGCUUUGUAACGUAGUCCCAUGUACGCGGGACACUUGUUGUUUGGAAGACCAUGACAAUAUGAUUGAAAAGUAAUCCAUGACGGGUACACCUAUUGGUAUAUGUUUCAUUAUCAAGGAAAGAAUUUUACCCUAGCUCCGAUAACACCAAAACAAGUUUUUGAGAAUCAAAUGAGAAUGAAAUCUUCUGUAAAUCAAUUGAAAGAAAAAAGGAAUGAAGUUGAAAAAGAAAAGAAAAUGAAAAAAAAUGAGAAAUGUGAAAAAGAAAAAAAAAGUAGCUAAAAAAGCGAAAAGAAAAUGAGAAAAGAAGAAAAAGAAAAAGAAAAAGAAAGUGAAAAUAAAAGUUUGAUUGCAAAAGAAAGAGAAGCCCGGAAAGCACUUUUGGCAAGAAAAACCAUCCUCGUACUCAUGUACAAGGAAAAUCUUAUUAACAAGAAUGAAAUUCCUAAGGGUUUGCCUUCGUCUGUUUUGAUUCUUUUGCAGGAUUUCCAAGACGUUUUCCCAGAAGAGACUCUGAGUGGAUUGCCACCUUUUCGCGGAAUUGAGCACCAAAACUAUUCUGUGCCUGAAGUUGUUAUUUCGAAUCAUCCUGCCUAUAGAAAAAAUCCCAAAGAAACUAAAGAAAUACAAAGGCAAGUCAACAAAUUGAUGGAGAAGGGCUAUAUCCGAGAAAGUCCUAGCCCUUGUGCCGUUCUAGUCUUGUUGGUGCCUAAGAAAGAUGGAAAAUAGCGGAUGUGUGUGGAUUUUCAUGCCGUGAAUAAAAUUACUAUCAAAUAUAGGCAUCUGAUCCCUCGACUAGACGAUAUGUUAGAGGAACUAAGUGGAGCCAAACUAUUUCAAAAAUUGAUUUUAAAAGCGGCUACCACUAGAUCUGUAUACGAGAAGGCGACAAGUGGAAAAUAACCUUUAAAAUGAAACACGGUUUGUAUAAGUGGUUGGUCAUGCUGUUUGGCUUAACCAACGCUCCUAGAACUUUUAUGAGAUUGAUGAACCAUGUUUUGAGACCCUUCAUUGUUAGCUCGCAAGGUUUGGAAGUGGACCAAGAGUAGAUAAAAGCUAUCCAAGACUGGCUGAGAACUACAACUGUUAGCCAAGUUCGGAGUUUCCAUGGUUUAGCCAGUUUUUAUCGAUGAUUUGUGCCUAAUUUCAGCACUAUAGCCGCUCUAUUAACGAGUGUAAUCAAAAAGAAUUUUGUAUUCCAUUGGAACGAUGAGCAAGAGAAAUCUUUUGUUGAAAUUAAAAA